rnacentral:rRNA from 1 species
GACGAACGCUGGCGGCGCGCCUAACACAUGCAAGUCGAACGAGCGAGAGAGAGCUUGCUUUCUCAAGCGAGUGGCGAACGGGUGAGUAACGCGUGAGGAACCUGCCUCAAAGAGGGGGACAACAGUUGGAAACGACUGCUAAUACCGCAUAAGCCCACGACCCGGCAUCGGGUAGAGGGAAAAGGAGCAAUCCGCUUUGAGAUGGCCUCGCGUCCGAUUAGCUAGUUGGUGAGGUAACGGCCCACCAAGGCGACGAUCGGUAGCCGGACUGAGAGGGUGAACGGCCACAUUGGGACUGAGACACGGCCCAGACUCCUACGGGAGGCAGCAGUGGGGAAUAUUGCACAAUGGGGGAAACCCUGAUGCAGCGACGCCGCGUGGAGGAAGAAGGUCUUCGGAUUGUAAACUCCUGUUGUUGAGGAAGAUAAUGACGGUACUCAACAAGGAAGUGACGGCUAACUACGUG